GAUGAACGCUGGCGGCGUGCCUAAUACAUGCCAGUCGAGCGAACAGACGAGGAGCUUGCUCCUCUGACGUUAGCGGCGGACGGGUGAGUAACACGUGGAUAACCUACCUAUAAUACUGGGAUAACUUCGGGAAACCGGAGCUAAUACCGGAUAAUAUAUUGAACCGCAUGGUUCAAUAGUGAAAGACGGUUUUGCUGUCACUUAUAGAUGGAUCCGCGCCGCAUUAGCUAGUUGGUAAGGUAACAGCUUACCAAGGCGACGAUGCGUAGCCGACCUGAGAGGGUGAUAGGCCACACUGGAAGUGAGACACGGUCCAGACUACUACGGGAGGCAGCAGUAGGGAAUCUUCGGCAAUGGGCGAAAGCCUGACGGAGCGACGCCGAGUGAGUGAUGAAGGUCUUCGGAUCGUAAAACUGUGUUAUUAGGGAAGAACAAAUGUGUAAGUAACUAUGCACGUCUUGACGGUACCUAAUCAGAAAGCCACGGCUAACUACGUG
rnacentral:rRNA from 1 species